rnacentral:piRNA from 1 species
UUCAAGGGAGACUGAUAUGUUUGAUCUGU